rnacentral:rRNA from 1 species
UACGAAGGGUGCAAGCGUUGUUCGGAAUUAUUGGGCGUAAAGGGUUCGUAGGCGGGAGAGUAAGUUGAGUGUGAAAACCCCGGGCUUAACCUGGGACGUGCAUUCAAGACUGCUUUUCUUGAGUGUGGGAGAGGGUGGUGGAAUUGCUGGUGUAGGAGUGACAUCCGUAGAGAUCAGCAGGAACGCCGGAGGCGAAAGCGACCAUCUGGCCCAAGACUGACGCUGAGGAACGAAAGCGUGGGGAGCAAACAGG